CAAUAGCGUAUAUUAAAGUUGUUGCGGUUAAAAAGCUCGUAGUUGGAUUUCUGUCGAAGACGGUCGGUCCGCUCUAUGAGCGUGUAUCUGAUUCGGCUUUGGCAUCCUCGUGGGGAACGUAACUGUGCUUGAUUGCAUGGUGCGGAAUUCACGACUUUUACUUUGAGGAAAUUAGAGUGUUCACGGCAGGCAAGCGCCUUGAAUACAUUAGCAUGGAAUAAUAAUAUAGGACUUGUGUUCUAUUUUGUUGGUUUCUAGGACAUAAGUAAAUGAUUAAUAGGGAUAAAUUGGGGGCGAUUGUAUUAACGACGUCAGAGGUGGAAGUUCUUGGAUUGCGUUACGACAAACUAACUAGCGAAGACAUUGUCCAAGGAUGUUUUCUAUUGAUCAAGAAACGAAAGUAAUGGGGAGUCAAAGAAUGAUUAGAUACCGU
rnacentral:rRNA from 1 species